rnacentral:rRNA from 1 species
CACUAACUAACUAGUCCACCCACUAAAGAACAAACCUUACACACAUGAACCCCAAUGAAUUUAACAAAAUGAAAUAAAACAUUCUACACCUCAGUAAAGGAGAUUAAAAAGGAAAUAAGAACAAUAAAAUUAGUACCGCGAGGGAAUGUUGAAAUAGAGAUGAAAAAGCCCAGUGAAGAUUGAAAAAGCAGAGACUAUACCUCGUACCUUUUGCAUCAUGAUUUAGCAAGAGAAUUUUAGGCAAGGGGCACCUUAGUCUAAAAUACCCGAAACUAAAUGAGCUACUUCAAGCCAGCAUGUACCAUUCAGUGCCUACCCGUCUCUGUCGCAAAAGAUGUGGGGAGAGCUUCAAGUAGGGGUGACAGACCUAUCGAAUUUAGUAAUAGCUGGUUUUCUGAGAGAUAAAUAUUAGUUUAGCCUCUAAAAUUCUCCAUUCCUGAGCCUCAAAACAAUUUAAAUUCUAUUAAAACUAUAAGGAUAAAGAGAAGUUUAUAGAGUUAAUCAAACGGGUUUCAGCCCCUUUGAUCAGAGCUACAACUCCUCCAGCAGGGUAAAGAUCAUAUUAAUUAAGGUUAAUUACUCAUGUGGGCCUAAAAGCAGCCACCUCCUCAGAAAAGCGUCACAGCUCAAAUAAAACACCCCCAAUAAUACCGUAUAUAACUCCUAGCCCGCAUACAUUUUUAUCAGAAUAUCUUAUUUUUAUAUAAGAGAAAUUAUGCUAAUAUUAGUAAUAAGAGAUUAAGACCCUCUCCUUGCACAAGUGUAACUCACAAUGGACCCGCCACCGAGAGCUAACGACCCUUAAACAAAAGAAGGAAGAGGGGGUAAAAUAAAAUACUAGAAAACCCCCCUACCCGACCCGUUAACCCUACACUGGAGUACAAUAAAGGAAAGAUGACAAACGAAAGAAGGAAUUCAGCAAACCUUAUCCCCGCCUGUUUACCAAAAACACCGCCUCUUGAAACAACUAUAUAAGAGGUAGAGCCUGCCCAAUGAUAUUAAUUUAAUGGCCGCAGUAUUUUGACUGUGCUAAGGUAGCGUAAUCAUUUGCCCUUUAAAUGAGGGCCAGUAUGAACGGUUUGACGAGGGCUUAACUGUCUCCUUUCGUCCAUCAAUGAAAUUGAUCUCUCCGUGCAAAAGCGGAGAUAUGUCUAUAAGACGAGAAGACCCUGUGGAGCUUAAGAUAAAACUUUAGACCCCGCCAAAAAUUAUAUAAUACAGGACAAAGCCAAAAGUACCUAAGGAGUAUCUUCAGUUGGGGCGACUGCUGGGAAAACAAAACCCCCGCGAAGACUGAGAAAACCUAACUCUUACACUCUAGAACCACCCUUCAAAAUAAUAGAACUUCUAACUUUUACUGAUCCGACCAGUUGAUCAACGAAUAAAGUUACCCCAGGGAUAACAGCGCAAUCCCCUUUUAGAGCCCUUAUCGAAAAGGGGGUUUACGACCUCGAUGUUGGACCAGGGCAUCCUAAUGGUGUAGCCGCUAUUAAGGGUUCGUUUGUUCAACGAUUAAAGCCCUACGUGAUCUGAGUUCAGACCGGAGUAAUCCAGGUCAGUUUCUAUCUAUAAAUUAUUUUUCUCUAGUACGAAAGGACCCAGAAGAAGAGGCCCAUGCUUCAAGUAAGCCUCCUUUUAAGUUAAUGAACCAAGCUCAAUUAACUCUAAGAAAUAACAAAUGAUCAAAGAUAAUGAU